UACGGGGGGAGCAAGCGUUGUUCGGAUUUACUGGGCGUAAAGGGCGCGUAGGCGGUGCGGUAAGUCACUUGUGAAAUCUCUGAGCUUAACUCAGAACGGCCAAGUGAUACUGCAGUACUAGAGUGCGGAAGGGGCAAUCGGAAUUCUUGGUGCAGCGGUGAAAUGCGUAGAUAAUCAAGAGGGAACACCUGAGGUGAAGACGGGUUGCUGGGCCGACACUGACGCUGAUGCGCGAAAGCCAGGGGAGCAAACGGG
rnacentral:rRNA from 1 species